GACGAACGCUGGCGGCGUGCUUAACACAUGCAAGUCGAACGGUAAGGCCCUUCGGGGUACACGAGUGGCGAACGGGUGAGUAACACGUGGGUGAUCUGCCCUGCACUUCGGGAUAAGCCUGGGACACUGGGUCCAAUACCGGAUAGGACCACUGCCUGCAUGGGUGGUGGUGGAAAGCUUUUGCGGGGUGGGAUGGGCCCGCGGCCUAUCAGCUUGUUGGUGGGGUGAUGGCCUACCAAGGCGACGACGGGUAGCCGGCCUGAGAGGGUGACCGGCCACACUGGGACUGAGAUACGGCCCAGACUCCUACGGGAGGCAGCAGUGGGGAAUAUUGCACAAUGGGCGCAAGCCUGAUGCAGCGACGCCGCGUGAGGGAUGACGGCCUUCGGGUUGUAAACCUCUUUCAGCACCGACGAAGCGCAAGUGACGGUAGGUGCAGAAGAAGGACCGGCCAACUACGUGCCAGCCGCCGCGGUAA
rnacentral:rRNA from 1 species